GGGCCCGCACAAGCGGUGGAGCAUGUGGUUUAAUUCGAUGCAACGCGAAGAACCUUACCUACUCUUGACAUCCAGAGAAUUCGCUAGAGAUAGCUUAGUGCCUUCGGGAACUCUGAGACAGGUGCUGCAUGGCUGUCGUCAGCUCGUGUUGUGAAAUGUUGGUUAAGUCCCGCAACGAGCGCAACCCCUAUCCUUACUUGCCAGCGGGUCAUGCCGGGAACUUUAGGGAGACUGCCGGUGAUAAACCGGAGGAAGGUGGGGACGACGUCAAGUCAUCAUGGCCCUUACGAGUAGGGCUACACACGUGCUACAAUGGUCAGUACAGAGGGUUGCGAAGCCGCGAGGUG
rnacentral:rRNA from 1 species